AUUGAACGCUGGCGGAAUGCUUUACACAUGCAAGUCGAGCGGCAGCGCGGCCUUCGGGCUGGCGGCGAGCGGCGAACGGGUGAGUAAUGCAUCGGAACAUGCCCAGACGUGGGGGAUAACACUUCGAAAGAAGUGCUAAUACCGCAUACGUCCUGAGGGGGAAAGCGGGGGAUCGCAAGACCUCGCGCGAUUGGAGUGGCCGAUGUCAGAUUAGCUAGUUGGUGGGGUAAAGGUCUACCAAGGCGACGAUCUGUAGCUGGUCUGAGAGGAUGAUCAGCCACACUGGGACUGAGACACGGCCCAGACUCCUACGGGAGGCAGCAGUGGGGAAUUUUGGACAAUGGGGGCAACCCUGAUCCAGCCAUUCCGCGUGAGUGAAGAAGGCCUUCGGGUUGUAAAGCUCUUUCGGCAGGAACGAAACGGUGGGCUCUAACAUAGUCCGCUAAUGACGGUACCUGAAGAAGAAGCACCGGCUAACUACGUG
rnacentral:rRNA from 1 species